rnacentral:rRNA from 1 species
UACGUAGGGGGCGAGCGUUGUCCGGAAUCAUUGGGCGUAAAGAGCGUGUAGGCGGGCCGGAAGGUCUGGUGUGAAAGCCCGGGGCUCAACCCCGGAGGGUCACUGGAAACCAACGGUCUUGAGUCCGGAAGAGGAGAGUGGAAUUCCUGGUGUAGCGGUGGAAUGCGCAGAUAUCAGGAGGAACACCAAUGGCGAAGGCAGCUCUCUGGUACGUGACUGACGCUGAGACGCGAAAGCGUGGGUAGCAAAC